rnacentral:rRNA from 1 species
UACGUAGGUGGCAAGCGUUGUCCGGAUUUAUUGGGUUUAAAGGGUGCGUAGGCGGUUUUUUAAGUCAGUGGUGAAAUAUUUCAGCUUAACUGGAGAGGUGCCAUUGAUACUGGGAAACUUGAGUACUGAUGAGGUAGGCGGAAUGGACGGUGUAGUGGUGAAAUGCGUAGAGAUCGGGAGGAACACCAGUGGCGAAGGCGGCCGGCUGGGGGUGACCUGACACUGAGGCACGAAAGCGUGGGGAGCAAACAGG